GUCAGGUCCCUGCAUGGGAGACCUGGCCCCUUGUGUGCCUUUUCAGGUUCUCAUUCUUCUGACCACAACAUCUGGAAACUACCAAACAUCAGAAGCAUCAUGUGGCUCCUGCUAAGCCUCCUCACUCUGCCUUGGCAAGCUUUUCCUCAGAAUCCCUCACCACAUCCCAGUUUUUGGAUUACAGCAUUUUUAGUAGAUGCCAGUGCCCAGCAAGAGAUGGCUUAGCUGCACCUGCAGCUGAGAUAGAAGGGGCAACAGUGCCAGUGCCUGGCUUUCCUGGCAGCCCUGAUUGAGAACAAGAGGAAGUGCCCUGGGUCCAGCAGAGAGGAUGAGUGUGGUCCUGAGGGAAGGCAGCAACCCAUCAUGAGGCCACUGAAAACCUGCAGAUUGAUCCAUGGAUGAUACUUCGGCAUCUUGUGACUACUUCAUUUGGCAACAUUUCCCCUGAUGGUUUUACUGUCCUUUUGAUAUUGCUGUCUGAAUCCACUGUUUUAUUUCGAUGCUAAUGAAAUGGAGUCACCAAGUUCCUUGAUUCCUUCAUCAUUUUUUGCCUGGGAAUAUUCAGUAAGGAAGACUUUCCAUCCUCAGCAUUAAUGGAUCAUUUGGAAAGGUUGUUCCUCAAGGAAAAGCAGAAUAUUUCCCCCCUUUUCUUUAGUUAACACCUUUCAUGGGAAGGGAAGGGGAUAAGAAGAUGUGUGAUGCACAUAGAUCCUUAAGGCAUAUGAUCAUCAUG